GACGAACGCUGGCGGCGUGCUUAACACAUGCAAGUCGAACGGAAAGGCCCUGCUUUUGUGGGGUGCUCGAGUGGCGAACGGGUGAGUAACACGUGAGUAACCUGCCCUUGACUUUGGGAUAACUUCAGGAAACUGGGGCUAAUACCGGAUAGGAGCUCCUGCUGCAUGGUGGGGGUUGGAAAGUUUCGGCGGUUGGGGAUGGACUCGCGGCUUAUCAGCUUGUUGGUGGGGUAGUGGCUUACCAAGGCUUUGACGGGUAGCCGGCCUGAGAGGGUGACCGGCCACAUUGGGACUGAGAUACGGCCCAGACUCCUACGGGAGGCAGCAGUGGGGAAUAUUGCACAAUGGGCGGAAGCCUGAUGCAGCAACGCCGCGUGCGGGAUGACGGCCUUCGGGUUGUAAACCGCUUUCGCCUGUGACGAAGCGUGAGUGACGGUAAUGGGUAAAGAAGCACCGGCUAACUACGUGCCAGCAGCCGCGGUGAUACGUAAGGUGCGAGCGUUGUCCGGAUUUAUUGGGCGUAAAGGGCUCGUAGGUGGUUGAUCGCGUCGGAAGUGUAAUCUUGGGGCUUAACCCUGAGCGUGCUUUCGAUACGGGUUGACUUGAGGAAGGUAGGGGAGAAUGGAAUUCCUGGUGGAGCGGUGGAAUGCGCAGAUAUCAGGAGGAACACCAGUGGCGAAGGCGGUUCUCUGGGCCUUUCCUGACGCUGAGGAGCGAAAAGCGUGGGGAGCGAACAGGCUUAGAUACCCUGGUAGUCCACGCUGUAAACGGUGGGUACUAGGUGUGGGGUCCAUUCCACGGGUUCCGUGCCGUAGCUAACGCUUUAAGUACCCCGCCUGGGGAGUACGGCCGCAAGGCUAAAACUCAAAGGAAUUGACGGGGCCCCGCACAAGCGGCGGAGCAUGCGGAUUAAUUCGAUGCAACGCGUAGAACCUUACCUGGGUUUGACAUGGAUCGGGAGUGCUCAGAGAUGGGUGUGCCUCUUUUGGGGUCGGUUCACAGGUGGUGCAUGGCUGUCGUCAGCUCGUGUCGUGAGAUGUUGGGUUAAGUCCCGCAACGAGCGCAACCCUUGUUCACUGUUGCCAGCACGUUAUGGUGGGGACUCAGUGGAGACCGCCGGGGUCAACUCGGAGGAAGGUGGGGAUGACGUCAAGUCAUCAUGCCCCUUAUGUCCAGGGCUUCACGCAUGCUACAAUGGCUGGUACAGAGAGUGGCGAGCCUGUGAGGGUGAGCGAAUCUCGGAAAGCCGGUCUCAGUUCGGAUUGGGGUCUGCAACUCGACCUCAUGAAGUCGGAGUCGCUAGUAAUCGCAGAUCAGCAACGCUGCGGUGAAUACGUUCCCGGGGCUUGUACACACCGCCCGUCAAGUCAUGAAAGUUGGUAACACCCGAAGCCGGUGGCCUAACCGUUGUGGGGGAGCCGUCGAAGGUGGGACUGGUGAUUAGG
rnacentral:rRNA from 1 species